AUGCUAGCUAACUACACGUGUUGGUGUAUCACGGCCAGGUAUUUGCCACGUAAGCACCCGAAAAGUCCCGAACCUAAUCGGACUUUGACAUUAGAGAGGGAACACCUUCUCGGCACCUCCGACGUCGUUCUCUUUCGUUCGCUGCUGCCGCCUGCAUAGGAAGCAAACUUUUCUCUCCAUUACAGGUCAUUCGAUUUCUUGGUUCUUAUAGUCGGUCCUCACUGAAAUGAUAGCACAAUUUACUUGUAAAAUCAAGUCUGACUCUAAAAUGCGUGGAAUAGCAGCUUUGUUGUCUGCAAGAAACAAAUUUGCGCAGAUUCAUCGUGUGAGAGGAUCAUGGAGAGCUAUAACAAUUUCAAUACCAAGGAAACAAGGGAACAAUGAUUUGGGGGAAGGAGGGAUAGUGACAAAGGAGAAAACUGGUCCUAUUGUCUCCUAAAGCAGGCCUCCACCACUCCAUCAUCUUCUUGGACCGUUGCUUGCUCUCUCAUUGUUCGAGAUGUGAUCAAGUCGUGAUGGUGACCAUGACUGAAAGACAGAAGCGGGUUGAUGAAAGGAGCGAAAAAAAUUUUGUAUAUCUUCAUAAAGGAUUGCACAAUGACAUGAGGACUUCUCAGGAACCCUGCAAGGAGAAAACGAGAUGAGAGUAUUGCACUUUUUGCAUGUGUGUGAUGCUGAGUUUUAUGUGAUUGAAUAUCAGUAAAUGUUGACAUACACUCGGUGGCGUUUGGGUAUUCAUCGAAAAGUGCUGUCACAUUCUUCAAUAGAGUCUGAUUAACAUGGCAAGAAACCCACCCAAUGAAAAACAUUCAUAAUCAGAAUUUGAUGUGCUAGUUAAAUAGUGCAGCAGUUAUAUUUAGAAAAUUUCCUGUGACAUUUUUGAGGAUCAUCAGUGUGCACUUACUAGUACUAUGCCUCCUGGUUUAAUUGGUGACUCAAUCACAAUUCUUGCCCUCCUGCAUCGAAAGUAUUAGUUAAGAAUAACUUUCGUUCUGUUCUGUGAUGAACUCGAAUUUCUAACGUCAAAUUCAUAUGGCUAGUACCUAAUUGCUAGUCUGUCUCCUUCCAUUAUGCAUUCAUAGAAGCUGCAUCCUCUUGUGAAGGGAAUUGGUUUUUUUCUCCACUCUGCCAGAAAAGAGUCAUUGUCAUGCAUCAUUGUUGGACUUUCAUCCAUAAUACACACUACUUUUGAUAUUUUUUUUUUUCUCAUAGAGCAGCAGUUCAUACCUAAGUGCCAACUAACAGCAGCUGUAUAUUCACCAUCUUCGCAAAGAUUUUCGAUACGAAACUUGACGUUAUGGCCCAUGCUGCUUGUAAGUUGUUUGAAGAACCACAUGACCUCCUGUGAAAUUCAUUGUUAGAACUGCCUCCUAGGCAAAUUGGUGGACGGAAAUCGAGAAGAUAUACCUUUUUCCCCAGCAUUGGUUCAGGAAAGGAGCAUUCUUCAAACAAACAGUCUUCUGCAAUGUAACAUUGUAGUUCGUUCACAUUCUUUUCAUUGAUGAGCAUGUAGAAUUGGUCAAUUGUAUCGGAUGGAGAACAUGGAUUCAUUGGAUUCCAUCUAAAACAGGAAUCAUCUGAUAUUGAUGAGACACUAAAGCUGCGUUUGUGCUUGUAGGCCAAAUCGUUAUGUGGGUGCCUUUUUGCAGAAAUCCCAUGCUGCUCCGCCGCCUUCAUAUCGUUCUGUACAACUAGACAUGAUUUUCUCAAAGGUGAAGAAUGAAGCCUUGGUGUGAUUAUUGAUUUGGUGGUGCACCUGAUUUGAUGUGUGAACUGGCUUGAGAAAUUCAUGGUAGCAGACAUUGCAAUGAAAACUCUCCAAGACCAGAUUUUGCAAGAUGGGUGUUAUGAGCCUAUGAAUUUGAAGUCAAGUAUGUUAUGUUUCAAAUUGGAGUGAAGAAUAAAGCAAGGGAUUACUUGCCUUGUUUAAAAGAGGAAGAAUCACCACUGUCAGCCCCAUAGAGUUUUCUGUUAUCAUCAUGCUAUGUGCCUUGGCAUCUAAUCAAGGCACCCCAUUUUGUUUCUUGCAUUGUACCAAAAGACAGCUUCAGGCUUUUUAAUGAAUAGUUUGCUUCCUAA